CCUACGGGAGGCAGCAGUGAGGAAUUUUCCGCAAUGGGCGAAAGCCUGACGGAGCAAUGCCACGUGGAGGAGGAAGGCCUGUGGGUCGUAAACUCCUUUUCUCAGAGAAGAAGUUCUGACGGUAUCUGAGGAAUAAGCAUCGGCUAACUCUGUGCCAGCAGCCGCGGUAAUACAGGGGAUGCAAGCGUUAUCCGGAAUUAUUGGGCGUAAAGCGUCCUGAGGUGGCUUACCCAGUCGACUGUGAAAGCUCAAGGCUUAACCUUGAAACGGCAGUCGAAACUUGUAAGCUUGAGUACGGUAGGGGCAGAGGGAAUUCCCGGAGGAGAGGUGAAAUUCGUAGAUAUCGGGAGGAAGGCCAAAGGCGAAAGCACUCUGCUGGGCCGAUUACUGACACUGACAGACGAAAGCUAGGGGAGCGAAAGGGAUUAGAUACCCCUGUAGUCCUAGCCGUAAACGAUGGAUACUAAGUGUUGCGCGACUCAAAACGUGCAGUGCUGCAGCUAACGCGGUAAGUAUCCCGCCUGGGGAGUAUGCCCGCAAGGGUGAAACUCAAAGGAAUUGACGG
rnacentral:rRNA from 1 species